UACAGAGGUCUCGAGCGUUAGGCGGAAUCACUGGGCUUAAAGCGUGUGUAGGCGGAUCGGUAAGUACCUUGUGAAAUCCCACAGCUUAACUGUGGAACUGCUUGGUAUACUGCCAGUCUUGAGCCAGCUAGGGGCUACCGGAACAAAUGGUGGAGCGGUGAAAUGCGUAGAUAUGACUCGGAAGGCCAAAGGCGAAGGCAGGUUACUGGUACGCAACUGACGCUGAGGCACGAAAGCGUGGGGAGCAAACAGG
rnacentral:rRNA from 1 species